GACGAUCUGUAGCGGGUCUGAGAGGAUGAUCCGCCACACUGGGACUGAGACACGGCCCAGACUCCUACGGGAGGCAGCAGUGGGGAAUAUUGGACAAUGGGGGGAACCCUGAUCCAGCCAUGCCGCGUGUGUGAAGAAGGCCUUAUGGUUGUAAAGCACUUUAAGCGAGGAGGAGGCUACUGAGACUAAUACUCUUGGAUAGUGGACGUUACUCGCAGAAUAAGCACCGGCUAACUCUGUGCCAGCAGCCGCGGUAAUACAGAGGGUGCGAGCGUUAAUCGGAUUUACUGGGCGUAAAGCGUGCGUAGGCGGCUUUUUAAGUCGGAUGUGAAAUCCCCGAGCUUAACUUGGGAAUUGCAUUCGAUACUGGGAAGCUAGAGUAUGGGAGAGGAUGGUAGAAUUCCAGGUGUAGCGGUGAAAUGCGUAGAGAUCUGGAGGAAUACCGAUGGCGAAGGCAGCCAUCUGGCCUAAUACUGACGCUGAGGUACGAAAGCAUGGGGAGCAAACAGGAUUAGAUACCCUGGUAGUCCAUGCCGUAAACGAUGUCUACUAGCCGUUGGGGCCUUUGAGGCUUUAGUGGCGCAGCUAACGCGAUAAGUAGACCGCCUGGGGAGUACGGUCGCAAGACUAAAACUCAAAUGAAUUGACGGGGGCCCGCACAAGCGGUGGAGCAUGUGGUUUAAUUCGAUGCAACGCGAAGAACCUUACCUGGCCUUGACAUACUAGAAACUUUCCAGAGAUGGAUUGGUGCCUUCGGGAAUCUAGAUACAGGUGCU
rnacentral:rRNA from 1 species